GACGAACGCUGGCGGCGUGCUUAACACAUGCAAGUCGAACGGAAAGGCCUGCUUUCCCUUGUGGAUUGCGGGUACUCGAGUGGCGAACGGGUGAGUAACACGUGAGUGAUCUGCCCCCAACUUGGGUAUAAGCCUGGGAUACUGGGUCUAAUUCCCGAUAGGACUGCAGGGUGGUGCCUGUGGUGGAAAACGAUUUUCUAGUGGUUGGGGAUGAGCUCGCGGCCUAUCAGCUGGUUGGUGGGGUAAUGGCCUACCAAGGCGACGACGGGUAGCCGGCCUGAGAGGACGGCCAGCGACACUGGGAGUGGGAAACGGCGCAGACUCCGACGGGGGGCAGCAGUGGGGAAGUGUGGACAAUGGGCGAAAGCGUGAGCCAGAAAUGCCGCGUGUGGGAGGAAGGCCUUCGGGUUGUAAAGGACGUUUGGCGGGAACGAAAAGGACUGUGCCAAGACCACGGUUAGAUGACGGUACCCGCAGAAUAAGCACCGGCUAACUACGUG
rnacentral:rRNA from 1 species